GGAGAGGUGCCCGAGUGGCUAAAGGGGGCAGACUGUAAAUCUGUUCGUUACGCCUACGUUGGUUCGAAUCCAACCCUCUCCACCA
rnacentral:tRNA from 1 species